CGUAGGGGGCAAGCGUUGUCCGGAAUCAUUGGGCGUAAAGCGCGUGUAGGCGGCCUUGUAAGUCCGUUCUGAAAGCCCGGGGCUCAACCCCGGGAGGCGGAUGGAUACUGCAAGGCUCGAGUACGGAAGAGGCGAGUGGAAUUCCCGGUGUAGCGGUGAAAUGCGCAGAUAUCGGGAGGAACACCAAUGGCGAAGGCAGCUCGCUGGGACGUUACUGACGCUGAGACGCGGAAGCGUGGGGAGCAAACAGGAUUAGAUACCCUGGUAGUCCACGCCGUAAACGAUGGAUACUAGGUGUGGGAGGUGUCGACUCCUCCCGUGCCGAAGCUAACGCAUUAAGUAUCCCGCCUGGGGAGUACGGCCGCAAGGCUA
rnacentral:rRNA from 1 species